rnacentral:rRNA from 1 species
AGCAGUCGCCGCGGGAAUACGGAGGAUCCAAGCGUUAUCCGGAAUCAUUGGGUUUAAAGGGUCCGUAGGCGGUCUUGUAAGUCAGUGGUGAAAGCCCAUCGCUCAACGGUGGAACGGCCAUUGAUACUGCAGGACUUGAAUUAUUGGGAAGUAACUAGAAUAUGUAGUGUAGCGGUGAAAUGCUUAGAGAUUACAUGGAAUACCAAUUGCGAAGGCAGGUUACUACCAAUUGAUUGACGCUGAUGGACGAAAGCGUGGGUAGCGAACAGGAUUAGAUACCCGGGUAGUCCCUGUCUCUUAUAC